rnacentral:rRNA from 1 species
UACGUAGGGUGCGAGCGUUGUCCGGAAUUACUGGGCGUAAAGGGUGCGUAGGUGGCGCCAUAAGUCGGGUGUGAAAUCUCGGGGCUUAACUCCGAAACUGCAUUCGAUACUGUGGUGCUUGAGGGCUGGAGAGGAGACUGGAAUUCAUGGUGUAGCAGUGAAAUGCGUAGAGAUCAUGAGGAAGACCAGUGGCGAAGGCGGGUCUCUGGACAGUUCCUGACACUGAGGCACGAAGGCCAGGGGAGCAAACGGG